rnacentral:rRNA from 1 species
AUUGAACGCUGGCGGCAGGCCUAACACAUGCAAGUCGAACGGUAACAGGAAGCAGCUUGCUGCUUCGCUGACGAGUGGCGGACGGGUGAGUAAUGUCUGGGAAGCUGCCUGAUGGAGGGGGAUAACUACUGGAAACGGUAGCUAAUACCGCAUAAUGUCGCAAGACCAAAGAGGGGGACCUUCGGGCCUCUUGCCAUCGGAUGUGCCCAGAUGGGAUUAGCUAGUUGGUGGGGUAACGGCUCACCAAGGCGACGAUCCCUAGCUGGUCUGAGAGGAUGACCAGCCACACUGGGACUGAGACACGGUCCAGACUCCUACGGGAGGCAGCAGUGGGGAAUAUUGCACAAUGGGCGCAAGCCUGAUGCAGCCAUGCCGCGUGUAUGAAGAAGGCCUUCGGGUUGUAAAGUACUUUCAGCGGGGAGGAAGGGAGUAAAGUUAAUACCUGUGCUCAUUGACGUUACCCGCAGAAGAAGCACCGGCUAACUCCGUG